UACAGAGGGUGCAAGCGUUAAUCGGAAUUACUGGGCGUAAAGCGUGCGUAGACGGUUAUGUAAGUCAGAUGUGAAAGCCCCGGGCUCAACCCGGGAAUUGCAUCCGAAACCACCUCACUCGAGUGUGGGAGAGGGAAGCGGAAUUCCUGGUGUAGAGGUGAAAUUCGUAGAUAUCAGGAGGAACACCGGCGGCGAAGGCGGCUUCCUGGCCCAUUACUGACGUUCAGGUACGAAAGCGUGGGGAGCAAACAGG
rnacentral:rRNA from 1 species